rnacentral:rRNA from 1 species
GACGAACGCUGGCGGCGUGCUUAACACAUGCAAGUCGAACGGAAAGGCCCUGCUUGCAGGGUGCUCGAGUGGCGAACGGGUGAGUAACACGUGGGUGACCUGCCCCUUACUUUGGGAUAAGCCUGGGAAACUGGGUCUAAUACUGGAUAGGACCAUGCUGUAGGUGGUGUGGUGGAAAGAUUAGUUUCGGUAAGGGAUGAGCUCGCGGCCUAUCAGCUUGUUGGUGGGGUAAUGGCCUACCAAGGCGUCGACGGGUAGCCGGCCUGAGAGGGUGGACGGCCACAUUGGGACUGAGAGACGGCCCAGACUCCUACGGGAGGCAGCAGUGGGGAAUAUUGCACAAUGGGCGCAAGCCUGAUGCAGCGACGCCGCGUGGGGGAUGACGGCCUUCGGGUUGUAAACUCCUUUCAGCCAUGACGAAGCCCUUGUGGUGACGGUAGUGGUAGAAGAAGCACCGGCUAACUACGUG